GCUUACGGCCAUACCAACCUGGCUAUGCCCGAUCUCGUCUGAUCUCGGAAGCUAAGCAGGUUUGGGCCUGGUUAGUACUUGGAUGGGAGACCGCCUGGGAAUACCAGGUGCUGUAAACU
ensembl:rRNA 5S_rRNA 5S ribosomal RNA